rnacentral:rRNA from 1 species
GAUGAACGCUGGCGGCGUGCCUAAUACAUGCAAGUCGAGCGAACAGACGAGGAGCUUGCUCCUCUGACGUUAGCGGCGGACGGGUGAGUAACACGUGGAUAACCUACCUAUAAGACUGGGAUAACUUCGGGAAACCGGAGCUAAUACCGGAUAAUAUAUUGAACCGCAUGGUUCAAUAGUGAAAGACGGUUUUGCUGUCACUUAUAGAUGGAUCCGCGCCGCAUUAGCUAGUUGGUAAGGUAACGGCUUACCAAGGCAACGAUGCGUAGCCGACCUGAGAAGGUGAUCGGCCACACUGGAACUGAGACACGGUCCAGACUCCUACGGGAGGCAGCAGUAGGGAAUCUUCCGCAAUGGGCGAAAGCCUGACGGAGCAACGCCGCGUGAGUGAUGAAGGUCUUCGGAUCGUAAAACUCUGUUAUUAGGGAAGAACAAAUGUGUAAGUAACUAUGCACGUCUCGACGGUACCUAAUCAGAAAGCCACGGCUAACUACGUG